UACGGAGGGUGCAAACGUUGCUCGGAAUCAUUGGGCGUAAAGCGCACGUAGGCGGCUCGUUAAGUCGGAUGUGAAAGCCCCCGGCUCAACCGGGGAAGUGCAUCUGAAAUUGGCGAGCUAGAGUACGAAAGAGGGUCGCGGAAUUCCCGGUGUAGAGGUGAAAUUCGUAGAUAUCGGGAGGAACACCGGUGGCGAAGGCGGCGACCUGGGUCGAUACUGACGCUGAGGUGCGAAAGCGUGGGGAGCAAACAGG
rnacentral:rRNA from 1 species